rnacentral:lncRNA from 1 species
UACAAACUAGCGUUCUGUUCAGUAAUGUAAGUCUGGUAACUCUGGCUUUAGCAAUGUUAGUCUUUGAAAAGAGAAAAUGCAAAGGCAACGGCUGCUAAGAAUAAUUCUCUAUGCAGGGUAUGAGUUGUGUUGUGGCGUGUGGUUAUGUGGUGUUGCAAUGAUACUGCUUUGCCCAUAGGGUGCAUUUCAAAACAUCCUACCUCAAUGGUAGAAGUUUCAAAGUUGACUAAUUAUGGCACAAGCUGUGAGGCUACACGGUAACGGAAAAGCAAAAGUCUUGACAGAUUCACGCCUUCACAAAAGAGACAGUCCUUUUAGAGUUAAAGGACUCACAAAAGAUGGAGACUUCACAGAGGUCUCCCGUUCAGUCAUCCUUUCUGAUCUCAAUAAUAGUUGUGCUGAAUAUCAUCGUAUGGAUGUUUCUAAUGUCAGCAGUGGGAUUAGGGGCUAUGCACCUACAUGACUGCCCCUUACAGCCUUAUAUCCCCAUCUACCUGCUGGUGUUCGGGGUGACGUCCAUCGCCUCCCUGCUCCUAUCCUACCUCAAUAACACACUGGAGACUGGCUUCCUGAGCCUACUGUGUUCCUCCUGCAUCUUCCUGCUCCAGCUCUUCAACCUCGGCUGGUUCAUCACAGGCUCCCGAUGUCAUUCUUCUGUGAGCUGCUCCAUGCAACAAACGCUUGAGAGCAGUGUGCUCUUCUUCUUCUGCUUCUUUAACUUUGUAUUGGCUGAUCGCAACCACCACCGCCACCUACUUACUGUACUGGAGUGUGAGGCCAGUCACAGCCUCCCUAUUCAUACAUUUCUCUUAUCUAGUCCUGUGUUUCAGCCUACUGUUCUGGAGUGUGAAUUCAUUACACGUUGUCACACAAAAAAGGAAGGGAAAAAGGACUGGGAAAAGGGGAAAAAAGUGCCCUACCAACUAACCCUACAGCCAUUAAAAUCUCACCAAUAUUCCACUACUUGGCCCUAUCUGAUCCUACACCUGGCCGGCAGCCUGGACCCAUCUUCCUCUACUACUCUCUUUACUGCCUCAGCAUAUUACACCUUCUGUACUACUCUAAUCCUGGCAACCUCAACCUGCCUUUCUCUCAAAUCAAAAAUCAAAUCAAAUUUAUUGGUCACAUACACGUGAUUAGCAGAUGUUACUGCGGGUGUAGCGAAAUGCUUGUGCUUCUAGCUCCGACAGUGCAGUAAUAUCUAACAAGUUAUACAACAUAUACCCAAAUCUAAGUAGGAAUGAAUUAAGACUUUAUACAUAUGGACGAGCGAUGCCAGAGUGGAAGGGACUAAGAUACCAUAGAAUAGUAUAGAAUACAGUAUAUACAUAUUAGAUGAGUAAUGCAAGAUAUGUAAACAUUAUUAAGUGACUAAGAUACCGUAGAAUAGUAUAGAAUACAGUAUAUACAUAUGAGAUUGGUAAUGCCGGAUAUGUAAACAUUAUUAGAGUGACUAGUGUUCCAUUCCUUAAAGUGACCAGUGAUUCCUAGUCUCUGCCUAUAGGCAGCAGCCUCUAAUGUGCUAGUGAUGGCUGUUUAACAGUCUGAUGGCCUUGAGCUAGAAGUUGUUUUUCAGUCUCUCAGUCCCAGCUUUGAUGCACCUGUACUGACCUCGCCUUCUUGAGGAUAGAAGGGUGAACAGGCAGUGGCUCAGGUGGUUGACGUCCCUGAUGAUCUUUUUGGCCUUCCUGUGACAUCGGGUGCUGUAGGUGUCCUGGAGGGCAGGUAGUUUGCACCCAGUAAUGCGUUGGGCAGACCGCACCACCCUCUGGA